CUACCCGCUGAACUUAAGCCAUAUCAAUAAGCCGGGAGGAA
rnacentral:rRNA from 1 species